AGAGUUUGAUCCUGGCUCAGGACGAACGCUGGCGGCGUGCCUAAUACAUGCAAGUCGAGCGGACUUGAUGAGAAGCUUGCUUCUCUGAUGGUUAGCGGCGGACGGGUGAGUAACACGUAGGCAACCUGCCUGUAAGACUGGGAUAACUACCGGAAACGGUAGCUAAUACCGGAUAGUUGGUUUUCUCGCAUGAGAGAAUCAUGAAAGACGGAGCAAUCUGUCACUUACGGAUGGGCCUGCGGCGCAUUAGCUAGUUGGUGAGGUAAUGGCUCACCAAGGCGACGAUGCGUAGCCGACCUGAGAGGGUGAACGGCCACACUGGGACUGAGACACGGCCCAGACUCCUACGGGAGGCAGCAGUAGGGAAUCUUCCGCAAUGGACGAAAGUCUGACGGAGCAACGCCGCGUGAGUGAUGAAGGUUUUCGGAUCGUAAAGCUCUGUUGCCAGGGAAGAAUGUCUUAGAGAGUAACUGCUCUAAGAGUGACGGUACCUGAGAAGAAAGCCCCGGCUAACUACGUGCCAGCAGCCGCGGUAAUACGUAGGGGGCAAGCGUUGUCCGGAAUUAUUGGGCGUAAAGCGCGCGCAGGCGGCUAUGUAAGUCUGGUGUAUAACCUCGGGGCUCAACCCCCGGGUCGCACUGGAAACUGUGUAGCUUGAGUACAGAAGAGGAGAGUGGAAUUCCACGUGUAGCGGUGAAAUGCGUAGAUAUGUGGAGGAACACCAGUGGCGAAGGCGACUCUCUGGGCUGUAACUGACGCUGAGGCGCGAAAGCGUGGGGAGCAAACAGGAUUAGAUACCC
rnacentral:rRNA from 1 species